rnacentral:rRNA from 1 species
CAGCAGCCGCGGGAAUACGUAGGGCGCAAGCGUUAUCCGGAAUUAUUGGGCGUAAAGAGCUCGUAGGCGGUUUGUCGCGUCUGCCGUGAAAGUCCGGGGCUCAACCCCGGAUCUGCGGUGGGUACGGGCAGACUAGAGUGAUGUAGGGGAGACUGGAAUUCCUGGUGUAGCGGUGAAAUGCGCAGAUAUCAGGAGGAACACCGAUGGCGAAGGCAGGUCUCUGGGCAUUAACUGACGCUGAGGAGCGAAAGCAUGGGGAGCGAACAGGAUUAGAUACCCCCGUAGUCCCUGUCUCUUAUAA